GUGAAUCAUCGAAUUUUUGAACGCAAAUUGCACUCUCUUCGGAGAGUAUGCCUGUUUGAGGGUCAGUAUUAAUAAAAAUCGGUGUGUUGCUUCUUUGUGACGCUCCGGAGUUUGGGUCAUCUUAAUAUCCUUUAGGUUUUAAGAGGCUUAAAAUUGACUUUUUUGGCGCUGUUUGGUGUUCCAAAAUUUCUUUUUUUUUGCUUCUGUCUAA
rnacentral:misc_RNA from 1 species